UACGUAGGGGGCAAGCGUUGUCCGGAAUUAUUGGGCGUAAAGCGCGUGUAGGCGGCUCGGUAAGUCUGCUGUGAAAGUCCAGGGCUCAACCCUGGAAUGCCGGUGGAUACUGUCGAGCUCGAGUCCGGAAGAGGCGAGUGGAAUUCCUGGUGUAGCGGUGAAAUGCGCAGAUAUCAGGAGGAACACCAAUGGCGAAGGCAGCUCGCUGGGACGGUACUGACGCUGAGGCGCGAAGGCGUGGGGAGCGAACGGG
rnacentral:rRNA from 1 species